CCCUUUCUACACGUUAUCUUUUCUUCUCCAAAACCUCCACUCCUAAAAUCUCUCCAACCAAAUACCCCUUUUUACGCCACAUACAUACGUAUACAUAUCUUCCCUUUACUCUCAGCAAAUUACCGUCUCCUGUUCUGCAAUUUUUCUCCUCCUCCGGUAAGUGGGAAGGAGAAGCUGAGAGUGUUGUGAUUACCGUGUUUGUGUGCGAAGUUUGCUUAUUUCCAAAGAUUGAGCGGCGAUGGGCGUGGAGGAUGUUGAGCAGAGUCCAUGGAUUGUUUUGUCAUGGUUAAUAAUUGUUGGUUUUGUCGUGUCUUCAUACUCGGCAUUUUCCGUGUCUUGAACGCUUCCGCUAAGAGUCCUUUUCUUUAGAAUUGUUUAUUCGUGGAGAGUCUAACUCGUUUGAAAAUUGUUUAUUGUCCAUUCUUUAUUUACUUAAGGUUGGUAUUAUUGUUAAGUUAAUAUUAUGACGUUUUCAAAGUUAAUCCAAUUAUUAAAUUUUUGGUCAAA